GGUUCUUCUCUUUAGGCAGCACUGGAGCGAAAGAAUAUGCCCUGAUUUGCAUUAAUCUACUAAGUUUUGAAGGCAGAUCACAUGGGAUUACAAUUUUAUAAACCUAGUGACAGACUGAGAAGUUCUAAUCAGAAGAACAGAGGGUUUUGCUCAUUCAGACUCUGAAGAGAGCACAUCAAGACAAAAGACUGACAGGACGGCUCAGAUUGUCAGGAUUAGACGUGAUGUUAAAAUGUAAAUAUACUUUAGUAUACACAUACUGUGACUGCAGCACCUGCAGCCACACAGUAAAUAAAGGUUGUGUCAGUAUUUUA